GAAACAAAGGAAGAGAUCAGAGAUCACAAGGACGUCACCUCUGCUGUCUCCAAAUAGAGUGAUAAGAUCCAGCAGGUGUGUCAGGUGGCAUGUGCAUCUAAACUCUGUAGGGAAAGCACUGCACAUCACAGAGAGUUGGUCUGGAAGUCCCUACUUCAAGGUAUCUGCUAUGAUACGAGCAGUUCUUAAUAAUACCCAUCUAUGGUGAGUCAGGGCAGUACCUCAAGGGCUCUGUUCUGCUGUAAUAUAGCUGACACGCUGUAAUAAACUUGAGAAAGCCAAUCUAAUUUAAGUCUCCAUAGUUGCCUAAAG